rnacentral:rRNA from 1 species
UACGUAGGGUGCGAGCGUUGUCCGGAAUUAUUGGGCGUAAAGAGCUUGUAGGCGGUUUGUCGCGUCUGCCGUGAAAGUCCGGGGCUCAACUCCGGAUCUGCGGUGGGUACGGGCAGACUAGAGUGAUGUAGGGGAGACUGGAAUUCCUGGUGUAGCGGUGAAAUGCGCAGAUAUCAGGAGGAACACCGAUGGCGAAGGCAGAUCUCUGGGCCGUAACUGACGCUGAGGAGCGAAAGCAUGGGGAGCGAACAGG